rnacentral:lncRNA from 1 species
AGAGAGAGUUGAGCAACACGAGAGCCACCAUGUAGCCCGUGGUGCUGGGCUCCCCAAAGGGCAAGGGCAGGCAGAGGGGAGAGGCAUUGUACUUACUGCCUCCUAGCAAGGGGAUUGUGGCAAUGGUCAGGGCCAACAGGACACAUAGCAAAACGAUCGCUCUCAGGCUAAAAAGGGGAGCUUUCACUUCAAACUUCGAAGAGCACUUGACAGAAAAACCUCGUUCCAGCGCUGCCAGAGUGAGCAGGAAGAUCGACGAUUCGGAAGCAAAAAUGGACAGGAAGCCAACGAUUUGGCAGCCGAUUCCGUCUUCCCACCACGCACCGUGCUGAGCAAAACGGCCAAAAGUGAAUGCAUCCACGGCAGCCAGCACAGCACUGGAGACCCCCAUGAGAAUGUCCACUACCGCGAUUACCCCAAUUAGCAGCUUUAUGGAAGAGAUGUACAGAGGAGUUCUGAACACGGUCAAAGCCACCAAGGCAUUGCAGGAAAGCGCCAGUACUGCCGUGGUCCACACCCCGAUUCGGAUCAGCCAGCUACCAAAUAGGUGCUCACAGGGCUUGAAGGGACCUGAGCAGGGAAGGAAGAGAGAGAGGUUGUAUCAGAUUGGACUGGCAGAUGUAGCAAACUUGCCAAGAGACGGAGGUCAGUAACCACCAUUGUAACCACGGUGCCCGCGAGCCUCGCUCCUCUUUCUUAAACCAGUGGGAGGGUCUGCCUUGGAGAUUCUGUGGCACUGACCCACUGAUGCCCCAGGUUCUUGUGUUUCCAGAAGAUGUAUAGAAAAAUAAAAAGGGGAAAACUUC